UACGUAGGGGGCUAGCGUUGUCCGGAAUCACUGGGCGUAAAGGGUUCGCAGGCGGAUAUGCAAGUCAGAUGUAAAAGGCAGUAGCUUAACUGCUGUAAGCAUUUGAAACUGCAAAUCUUGAGUAGAGUAGAGGUAGGUGGAAUUUUUAGUGUAGCGGUGAAAUGCGUAGAUAUUAAGAAGAAUACCGGUGGCGAAGGCGACUUACUGGGCUCGUUCUGACGCUCAGGCACGAAAGCGUGGGUAGCAAACAGG
rnacentral:rRNA from 1 species